rnacentral:piRNA from 1 species
CUAAGCAUAUACUCUAGGAGAGCUGUGUUC